rnacentral:rRNA from 1 species
AGUGAACGCUGGCGGUAGGCCUAACACAUGCAAGUCGAACGGCAGCACAGUAAGAGCUUGCUCUUACGGGUGGCGAGUGGCGGACGGGUGAGGAAUACAUCGGAAUCUACUUUUUCGUGGGGGAUAACGUAGGGAAACUUACGCUAAUACCGCAUACGACCUACGGGUGAAAGCAGGGGAUCUUCGGACCUUGCGCGAUUGAAUGAGCCGAUGUCGGAUUAGCUAGUUGGCGGGGUAAAGGCCCACCAAGGCGACGAUCCGUAGCUGGUCUGAGAGGAUGAUCAGCCACACUGUAACUGAGACACGGUCCAGAAUCCUACGGGAGGGAGCAGGGGGGAAUAUUGGACAAUGGGCGCAAGCCUGAUCUAGCCAUACCGCGUGGGUGAAGAAGGCCUUCGGGUUGUAAAGCCCUUUUGUUGGGAAAGAAAAGCAGCAGGUUAAUACCCCGCUGUUCUGACGGUACCCAAAGAAUAAGCACCGGCUAACUUCGUG